UGUGUGUGUGUGUGUGUCGCUCCCACAGGGCAAAGGCAAAGAGAUAACGUACUGGUUAACAGGAGUGACAGGAGGGAAUUACAACCUGCCGACACCACCGACAGCGGAGAACUUCCAGCAGCUGCAGCAGAAUCUGGCCGAGAUGAUCGUUUCCAGUCUGGAGCAGCGAGGAGAAGGGAGUGAGCGCUUCAAAAAGACCCUGUCCACGAGAGUCAGUCAGAGGGAGACCAACAGCGGCCUGCAGGGCGGCGACAGCCCCCCCGACUACUUCCACCUGGCUGUCACAGAUAACCCCAGCACCUACCUGUGAUCACAGCGGCGCUCUGAAAAGGAGUAGACGAUGUAGGCGUGGCUCUGUUCUGUCCAAUCAGAGCUGCUGGUCUGUGUGGACAGGUCACUUAAUUCAGCGUCCUGUGACAUCAGAGCAGCAGGGCGGACGGCUGCUGCAGCGCCACCCGUCUCUCUCUGCAUCAGGACGUGAACAUCAGACUGAACCACCCACAGACAUGAAAUAUAAAAUAUGUGGUAUAAAUAAGCUCCUUCUCUUUUUUUCUUGUUGGACUGAAACGUUUUCACUGCGGCUGUUUUCUACGUGAUGAACUGAGCUUUUUUAUAACAAACAUGAGAAAUGACCACAUUCAAAAAGCCACCACCUGGGGGCGCCAGAGUCAAAUAAAUCUACAUUCCUGAAGUAAAUAGAUGGAAAUUAUUUAGAUUUAACCAUGUUUUGGCCUUUCAGAUAAUAUUUUUCCAUGUCAUUAAAUCAUUUGUGUGAAGUGAUGUUUUUUGCAUUCAGUCAAAUGUUUUUGCAGUUGACCUUCAGGGCCACUGUAGAUUUACAUCUUUAAUUAGUUCUUAAUUCUUUUACAUCCAAACUGUAUUCAGCAAACUCCUGCAAACUAUCUAAAGUGCACAAAUACUAAAAUGUUGUCUCUCUCUGUCUCUGCCGCUUUUAGUUAAAAGUCUUUUUCCCUGUGGACAAUAAUAACUCACACACCGAGUGUACUCUCUCA